rnacentral:rRNA from 1 species
AAUGAACGCUGGCGGCGCGCCUAAUACAUGCAAGUCGAGCGAGAAGACGUAGCAAUACGUUUGUAAAGCGGCGAACGGGUGAGGAAUACAUGGGUAACCUACCCUCGAGUGGGGAAUAACUAGCCGAAAGGUUAGCUAAUACCGCGUACGCUCCUUGGACUUCGGUUCAGGGAGGAAAGCGAUACCGUGGGUAUCGCGCUCUUGGAUGGGCUCAUGUCCUAUCAGCUUGUUGGGAGGUAACGGCUCACCAAGGCUUCGACGGGUAGCUGGUCUGAGAGGACGAUCAGCCACACUGGCACUGCGACACGGGCCAGACUCCUACGGGAGGCAGCAGUAAGGAAUAUUGCGCAAUGGGCGAAAGCCUGACGCAGCGACGCCGCGUGGGGGAGUGAAGGUCUUCGGAUUGUAAACCCC